GCUGGGUGUGGUGGUGCGUGCCUGUAAUCCCAGCUACUUGGGAGGCUGAGGCAGGAGAAUUGCUUGAACCCAGAAGG
rnacentral:SRP_RNA from 1 species